rnacentral:rRNA from 1 species
GACGAACGCUGGCGGCGUGCCUAAUACAUGCAAGUAGAACGCUGAAGAGAGGAGCUUGCUCUUCUUGGAUGAGUUGCGAACGGGUGAGUAACGCGUAGGUAACCUGCCUUGUAGCGGGGGAUAACUAUUGGAAACGAUAGCUAAUACCGCAUAACAAUGGAUGACACAUGUCAUUUAUUUGAAAGGGGCAAUUGCUCCACUACAAGAUGGACCUGCGUUGUAUUAGCUAGUAGGUGAGGUAAUGGCUCACCUAGGCGACGAUACAUAGCCGACCUGAGAGGGUGGUCGGCCACACUUGGACUGAGACACGGCCCAGACUCCUACGGGAGGCAGCAGUAGGGAAUCUUCGGCAAUGGGGGCAACCCUGACCGAGCAACGCCGCGUGAGUGAAGAAGGUUUUCGGAUCGUAAAGCUCUGUUGUAAGUCAAGAACGGGUGUGAGAGUGGAAAGUUCACACUGUGACGGUAGCUUACCAGAAAGGGACGGCUAACUACGUG